AGAGUUUGAUCCUGGCUCAGGAUGAACGCUGGCGGCGUGCCUAAUACAUGCAAGUCGAGCGAACCACUUCGGUGGUGAGCGGCGAACGGGUGAGUAACACGUAGGUGAUCUGCCCAUCAGACGGGGACAACGAUUGGAAACGAUCGCUAAUACCGGAUAGGACGAAAGUUUAAAGGUGCUUCUGGCACCGCUGAUGGAUGAGCCUGCGGCGCAUUAGCUAGUUGGUAGGGUAAAGGCCUACCAAGGCGACGAUGCGUAGCCGACCUGAGAGGGUGAACGGCCACACUGGGACUGAGACACGGCCCAGACUCCUACGGGAGGCAGCAGUAGGGAAUCUUCGGCAAUGGGCGAAAGCCUGACCGAGCAACGCCGCGUGAAUGAUGAAGGCCUUCGGGUUGUAAAAUUCUGUUAUAAGGGAAGAACGACUUUAGUAGGAAAUGGCUAGAGUGUGACGGUACCUUAUGAGAAAGCCACGGCUAACUACGUGCCAGCAGCCGCGGUAAUACGUAGGUGGCGAGCGUUAUCCGGAAUUAUUGGGCGUAAAGAGCGCGCAGGUGGUUGAUUAAGUCUGAUGUGAAAGCCCACGGCUUAACCGUGGAGGGUCAUUGGAAACUGGUCGACUUGAGUGCAGAAGAGGGAAGUGGAAUUCCAUGUGUAGCGGUGAAAUGCGUAGAGAUAUGGAGGAACACCAGUGGCGAAGGCGGCUUCCUGGUCUGUAACUGACACUGAGGCGCGAAAGCGUGGGGAGCAAACAGGAUUAGAUACCCUGGUAGUCCACGCCGUAAAC
rnacentral:rRNA from 1 species